rnacentral:rRNA from 1 species
GGGUUGUGAGGUUAAGCGACUAAGCGUACACGGUGGAUGCCCUGGCAGUCAGAGGCGAUGAAGGACGUGCUAAUCUGCGAUAAGCGUCGGUAAGGUGAUAUGAACCGUUAUAACCGGCGAUUUCCGAAUGGGGAAACCCAGUGUGUUUCGACACACUAUCAUUAACUGAAUCCAUAGGUUAAUGAGGCGAACCGGGGGAACUGAAACAUCUAAGUACCCCGAGGAAAAGAAAUCAACCGAGAUUCCCCCAGUAGCGGCGAGCGAACGGGGAGCAGCCCAGAGCCUGAAUCAGUGUGUGUGUUAGUGGAAGCGUCUGGAAAGGCGCGCGAUACAGGGUGACAGCCCCGUACACAAAAAUGCACAUGCUGUGAGCUCGAUGAGUAGGGCGGGACACGUGGUAUCCUGUCUGAAUAUGGGGGGACCAUCCUCCAAGGCUAAAUACUCCUGACUGACCGAUAGUGAACCAGUACCGUGAGGGAAAGGCGAAAAGAACCCCGGCGAGGGGAGUGAAAAAGAACCUGAAACCGUGUACGUACAAGCAGUGGGAGCACGCUUAGGCGUGUGACUGCGUACCUUUUGUAUAAUGGGUCAGCGACUUAUAUUCUGUAGCAAGGUUAACCGAAUAGGGGAGCCGAAGGGAAACCGAGUCUUAACUGGGCGUUAAGUUGCAGGGUAUAGACCCGAAACCCGGUGAUCUAGCCAUGGGCAGGUUGAAGGUUGGGUAACACUAACUGGAGGACCGAACCGACUAAUGUUGAAAAAUUAGCGGAUGACUUGUGGCUGGGGGUGAAAGGCCAAUCAAACCGGGAGAUAGCUGGUUCUCCCCGAAAGCUAUUUAGGUAGCGCCUCGUGAAUUCAUCUCCGGGGGUAGAGCACUGUUUCGGCAAGGGGGUCAUCCCGACUUACCAACCCGAUGCAAACUGCGAAUACCGGAGAAUGUUAUCACGGGAGACACACGGCGGGUGCUAACGUCCGUCGUGAAGAGGGAAACAACCCAGACCGCCAGCUAAGGUCCCAAAGUCAUGGUUAAGUGGGAAACGAUGUGGGAAGGCCCAGACAGCCAGGAUGUUGGCUUAGAAGCAGCCAUCAUUUAAAGAAAGCGUAAUAGCUCACUGGUCGAGUCGGCCUGCGCGGAAGAUGUAACGGGGCUAAACCAUGCACCGAAGCUGCGGCAGCGACACUAUGUGUUGUUGGGUAGGGGAGCGUUCUGUAAGCCUGUGAAGGUGUACUGUGAGGUAUGCUGGAGGUAUCAGAAGUGCGAAUGCUGACAUAAGUAACGAUAAAGCGGGUGAAAAGCCCGCUCGCCGGAAGACCAAGGGUUCCUGUCCAACGUUAAUCGGGGCAGGGUGAGUCGACCCCUAAGGCGAGGCCGAAAGGCGUAGUCGAUGGGAAACAGGUUAAUAUUCCUGUACUUGGUGUUACUGCGAAGGGGGGACGGAGAAGGCUAUGUUGGCCGGGCGACGGUUGUCCCGGUUUAAGCGUGUAGGCUGGUUUUCCAGGCAAAUCCGGAAAAUCAAGGCUGAGGCGUGAUGACGAGGCACUACGGUGCUGAAGCAACAAAUGCCCUGCUUCCAGGAAAAGCCUCUAAGCAUCAGGUAACAUCAAAUCGUACCCCAAACCGACACAGGUGGUCAGGUAGAGAAUACCAAGGCGCUUGAGAGAACUCGGGUGAAGGAACUAGGCAAAAUGGUGCCGUAACUUCGGGAGAAGGCACGCUGAUAUGUAGGUGA